rnacentral:rRNA from 1 species
GACAGAGGCCUCAAGCGUUAGGCGGAAUCACUGGGCUUAAAGCGUGUGUAGGCGGAUGCCUAAGUACCUUGUGAAAUCCCACGGCUCACCCGUGGAACUGCUGGGUAUACUGGGUGGCUUGGGCCAACCAGGGGCAACUGGAACAAGCGGUGGAGCGGUGAAAUGCGUAGAUAUCCGGAAGAACACCGGUGGCGAAGGCGGCCUGCUGGGCAGUGGCUGACACUGAGGCGCGACAGCGUGGGGAGCAAACGGG